rnacentral:rRNA from 1 species
UACAGAGGGUGCGAGCGUUAAUCGGAAUUACUGGGCGUAAAGCGCGCGUAGGCGGUUUGUCGCGUCGGCUGUGAAAACUCGGGGCUCAACUCCGAGCUUGCAGUCGAUACGGGCAGACUAGAGUUCGGCAGGGGAGACUGGAAUUCCUGGUGUAGCGGUGAAAUGCGCAGAUAUCAGGAGGAACACCGGUGGCGAAGGCGGGUCUCUGGGCCGAUACUGACGCUGAGGAGCGAAAGCGUGGGGAGCGAACAGG